UGGCAAAACAGGCCAAAGUGUAGGCACAAGCAAGAAUAUUGCCCAGUUCAUUGUUGGAUGUGUGAAAGAAUGGUGUCCCCUGAAGGAUGCUGUCAGAGGAAAAUACCCUCUGUUUGGGUUCACUUAUUCUAUGGGAUUCAGCAGCCCAGGCAGUUUUCUCACCCCAUUGCGUUCAUUUUCCCUUGCUCACUGCAGGUCACCUGAGGCGUUUGUUCAGAGGUGCCGAUCCUGAGGUGAGUGAGAAAGGAACCUUUGAUAUUCCUGCUGUUGGAGAAUUGUGGAGCAAGCUGGGAGCUUGGCCUGUGGCAGCAGAGUGUAGGUGGCCAGCUGAGUAGGCUGAAAGGAAAUCCAUUUCCAUGUCUGCAGCAGUGAUAGCAAAGGCAUUGCUGCCUAUUUCCUCAUCUUCCACUGCAAUGCUUUAAAAGAACCAGAAGACCAGUUUUGCAGAGAGAACACUGCUUCUUGAUAGUAGCCAGGGUGGGAGAUCUAAUUCAGACAAUUUGCAGUCCAGUUGAAUUAAGCCAUUUUCAUUUAGUUGGAGUGACUUAGAAUCCCAUUGCUAUCAAAGUGGAUGAUUUGUCUUUAGUCGAGCUGGUUGUAGAAAUAGAGCAGAAUAGAAGUAAGGUUAUAAAUGAUAGGUAGCUGCCUGUCCCUAACACUACUAUCUCUGCACAGAGCCCAGAACCAACAGCAGACUCUUCUCUGGCUCCCUCUGCUCCUGGAGAAGAGGCCAAAGAGGAGCAAAAUGACCACGAGCCUCCAGCAGUGGUCACACCCCAGCCUGAACAUUCAGAGACUGUUGUUCUGGAGAAAGAGCAGGAGCAGAUUGAUUUGUCAGAGAUGCCAUGCCAGACUGAGGGAGAGCUGUUGCCAGCCCGAGAGCAGGAAGAGCAGCUUGGGCAGCAGGUGGAAGAGGCACUGGAGAAUGGCCAGAAAUUCAGAUGCAGAAAGCAUUUAAAACAGACAGAAAUGACAGUGGGGAGAGGCCUAGGAGUCUGCAUGAAAACGCCCACCCGUGCUGGUGGCAAUGAAAUAGAUGCUGACCAAGGAGACUUUGAUCCUCUUCAAGCAAGAGAAAAAUUUCCUUCACUUUUCCCACAGCAGCAGAGGUCAAAAAGGAGGUUUUAUCCUGCCCCUCUGCAGCUGAGCUCAGCUAGUGGGCAUGGUGGGGAGCCCUCACUGUCACUAGCGCUGUGCAACCCAGGGAUGGCCUUGCUCCUGUGCUAAAGGAACAGCAGCGGCGUCAACCUCACCCCUUGGAUCCCAGCCCCAGGCACCUGACUGAAGGCUCACCCUCCUGUUCAAGUACCAAGAAACAGCCGGGGCUUUGGCACACAAUUCUAACUGCAGCUGGAGAAAAACACAUCCUGAACUUUUCCAGGCCACCCAGACACAUGACAGAACAAUGUACAGAUGACUUGAAAGCCUGAAAAUUUUGAAGUCCCACAGGAUUUGGAAAAGAUGCUAGAAUUUAAACAAAAAUGGAUGUGCUUUGUUUAAUAAAGGAAAAAGCAAACAGA
rnacentral:lncRNA from 1 species